UCCGACACACUAUCGUUAACUGAAUACAUAGGUUAACGAGGCGAACCGGGGGAACUGAAACAUCUAAGUACCCCGAGGAAAAGAAAUCAACCGAGAUUCCCCCAGUAGCGGCGAGCGAACGGGGAGCAGCCCAGAGUAUGAAUCAGCUUGUGUGUUAGUGGAAGCGUCUGGAAAGUCGCACGGUACAGGGUGACAGUCCCGUACACGAAAGCACACAGGUUGUGAACUCGAAGAGUAGGGCGGGACACGUGGUAUCCUGUCUGAAUAUGGGGGGACCAUCCUCCAAGGCUAAAUACUCCUGACUGACCGAUAGUGAACCAGUACCGUGAGGGAAAGGCGAAAAGAACCCCGGCGAGGGGAGUGAAAUAGAACCUGAAACCGUGUACGUACAAGCAGUGGGAGCACCUUCGUGGUGUGACUGCGUACCUUUUGUAUAAUGGGUCAGCGACUUAUAUUCUGUAGCAAGGUUAACCGUAUAGGGGAGCCGAAGGGAAACCGAGUCUUAACUGGGCGUUAAGUUGCAGGGUAUAGACCCGAAACCCGGUGAUCUAGCCAUGGGCAGGUUGAAGGUUGGGUAACACUAACUGGAGGACCGAACCGACUAAUGUUGAAAAAUUAGCGGAUGACUUGUGGCUGGGGGUGAAAGGCCAAUCAAACCGGGAGAUAGCUGGUUCUCCCCGAAAGCUAUUUAGGUAGCGCCUCGUGAACUCAUCUUCGGGGGUAGAGCACUGUUUCGGCUAGGGGGCCAUCCCGGCUUACCAACCCGAUGCAAACUACGAAUACCGAAGAAUGUUAUCACGGGAGACACACGGCGGGUGCUAACGUCCGUCGUGAAGAGGGAAACAACCCAGACCGCCAGCUAAGGUCCCAAAGUCAUGGUUAAGUGGGAAACGAUGUGGGAAGGCACAGACAGCCAGGAUGUUGGCUUAGAAGCAGCCAUCAUUUAAAGAAAGCGUAAUAGCUCACUGGUCGAGUCGGCCUGCGCGGAAGAUGUAACGGGGCUAAACCAUG
rnacentral:rRNA from 1 species